AAAAAAAAAUCAGUUUAGUCAAGCGAAAACAAAAACGACAAGUAACUUUACCUUCUCCCCUUCUCUUAACGACUGCAUCUAGAUGAAGAAAUAAGAACAAUCGAUCGGAGGCUGAUACAAAUGGAACACAUAUCAGACGGAACUACAAUGAUCCCGAUCCAACGGAAAAAGGGUAUCGAAGUAUGAACGGUUUGACAGAAGCAUCUAAAGAAAACAAAAAUGAAGCUGAAGCGGCGGUGGGAGAUAAUAUUGGUAAGUGUUGCUGGGAAUCCAUUGAUCUGUAGAAGCAGCCCACCUGAGAUUUGUUCUGGAUAUCACCUGUCCAAGCCCUCUUUACGUUUCUUUGAGCUUCUCAUCGGACUAAACUAAGGCAUGCUGGCGAGAAUGACGUUAUAUAGAUGGGAUUAUAAGAGUUAAUUUUGGUCCAUCCGGAUGAGGUACAAUUUAAUUAAGUUAAGUGCCGAGAAUUUAUUUAGGUGGUUUAGGAAUCUUAUGAAACGACAGUUUAUUAAGCCAGUGGUGUAAGUAUGUAAUUUUUGAGGAAAACUUAGGAUUGUUAUAAAUCAUG